CCAGACUCCUACGGGAGGCAGCAGUGGGGGAUAUUGCACAAUGGAGGAAACUCUGAUGCAGCGACGCCGCGUGAGGGAAGACGGUCUUCGGAUUGUAAACCUCUGUCUUUGGGGAAGAAAAUGACGGUACCCAAAGAGGAAGCUCCGGCUAACUACGUGCCAGCAGCCGCGGUAAUACGGGGGAUGCGAGCGUUAUCCGGAUUUAUUGGGUUUAAAGGGUGCGUAGGCGGCGCUUCAGGUCAGCGGUGAAAUACCGGGGCUCAACCCCGGGGCUGCCGUUGAAACCGGAGCGCUAGAAUUCCGAUGCCGUCGGAGGAAUGUGUGGUGUAGCGGUGAAAUGCAUAGAUAUCACACAGAACACCGAUUGCGAAGGCAUCUGACGAAUCGGAGAUUGACGCUGAUGCACGAAAGCGUGGGUAUCGAACAGGAUUAGAUACCCCGGUAUA
rnacentral:rRNA from 1 species